rnacentral:rRNA from 1 species
CGCGGUGAAUACGUUCCCGGGCCUUGUACACACCGCCCGUCAAGCCAUGGGAGCCGGGGGUGCCUGAAGUACGUGACCGCGAGGAGCGUCCUAGGGCAAAACUGGUGACUGGGGCUAAGUCGUAACAAGGUAAC